rnacentral:rRNA from 1 species
GCUUACUGUAGCCUGAAAUUGGGUUUGGGCUUUUUUUGCGCAGCCUAGGUGGGAGGCUAAGAAAAUCCCCUUGUGGGGGGGGUUUGAGCCAUCAGUGAGAGACCACUCUAAAAGAGCUAGAAUUCUAAUGGCGUCCCUUGAAUCAGGGCGCUUGACAGUUUCAGGUGGGCAGUUUGACUGGGGCGGUCGCCUCCUAAAAGGUAACGGAGGCGUGCAAAGGUUCCCUCAGGCUGGACGGAAAUCAGCCUUAGAGUGUAAAGGCAGAAGGGAGCUUGACUGCAAGACUUACAAGUCAAGCAGGGGCGAAAGCCGGCCUUAGUGAUCCGACGGUUCCCUGUGGAAGGGCCGUCGCUCAACGGAUAAAAGUUA